CAGCCGCCGCGGUAAUACGAAGGGGGCUAGCGUUGCUCGGAAUGACUGGGCGUAAAGGGCGCGUAGGCGGCGAUCAAAGUCAGGCGUGAAAUUCCUGGGCUCAACCUGGGGGCUGCGCUUGAUACUUGGUUGCUUGAGUGGGGAAGAGGGUCGUGGAAUUCCCAGUGUAGAGGUGAAAUUCGUAGAUAUUGGGAAGAACACCGGUGGCGAAGGCGGCGACCUGGUCCUUGACUGACGCUGAGGCGCGAAAGCGUGGGGAGCAAACAGGAUUAGAUACCCGCGUAGUCCCUGUCUCUUAUAC
rnacentral:rRNA from 1 species